rnacentral:lncRNA from 1 species
CACAGAGAGAGCAGGAGACUUUUAAAGUUAUGUGCGUGUGACUGCAUGGGCUUAGCGUGUUUCACAUGUGUCUCUUUCUGUUCGAGCGGUCAGCAUCAUCUUCCUCUUUAAAAAGAUCGAUCUCACUUUUGGUCCCGUCUUAAGUCUUUCUCAUUGAUAUUUUGGUCUAACUGUUAACACAAACUUCCAAAGACACUGAUUCGAUGUCAGACUGAUUUCAGUGUUUGAGUCCUGCACCUGUGUGUGUUUGUGUGUCUGCAGUAACUCCUCUCUGAUCCAGAGGGAGAUUUAUGGGGACCAGGAGUGCAGUAGGACGAUCCUUCGUUCAAUGUCUUCAUUGUGCUGUGAACACGUGUGUAAAGAGGGAAAGUGUAUAUGGGGUGAAAACUCAAUCCCCUCACUGAAAGGAUUAAAAGGUCAGAGCAUACACAUGUGCAUGAGAGUCUGCAGAGCUAAUAAAACAGUCAAACACAAUAAAAUAUCUCCACACUGAAAGAAUCGAAGCUUUCCACACCUUUUAGGCUCGGUUGGAAUCUUAAACUUCAUACUUUUAACCUUUGUAAAUUAAGCUAUGGAGACUAUUUAAGAGAUUAAGACUCUAAAAUCAAUCUUCUAAAGGAAACAGUCACCAAAUACAACACUGAUAUAGUGACAGACAUGAACACCUGACAGGUGUAUUUGGAGGUGAUGGUGCAGUUUUCUGUAGCAGAGAAAUUUCGUAUGAGUGCUUGGAAAUUGUCCAACAAUAUAAGUUGCACAGAAAACCUGUUUCAAAGUAAUCGUAUGUUAUCAUUAACAAUAUAAUCUGUUAAGAGUCCAUGGUUGACCUCCUCCCCUGCUUUAAGAUUUAAUCUAAACACAUUAUACCUUUUAAAGAUUGACAGAUUUCUCCAAAUCAACAAGGACCAUAUGAUUGUGCUCUAGUUGUAUGUGAUCCAUCUUACUCAAAAUACUGUCAUAGCCACAGUUCUUACUGUGUCCCUAUUUUUGAGUCAAACUUGAACUUUUUAUUUAUUUAAGUUUCAAAAUUCUUUCUAACCAGGAAAGCCUCACUGAGAUUAAAAGUCAAGAUUAGCAGCAGCACAUUCCAACAGUCACACACAUCCAUAAUUUACAAACAUGUCAACAUAUCCUUUAUCACAUUACAGAAAUCAUCUGUUAAAGCACCUACAGCCUGAUGCAUUUUCCUUAAACAACUUAAUGCUACUUUUUAAACACAUAUAAAGAGGCCCAAGUCCUCCUGCAACAGAUUUCAAACCUCAGGAGCAGCAUAUCUCAAAGUCAUUUUUCCCAUUUCAAGAAGCACUCAAGGGACAGAAAGCAAAAAUAUGUCUUGCGACUCGAUUACAGAGCAAAGAAUGUUGGUCCCGCCGUUUUAUAACAUAAAUUCAAGGAGGGCCAGCUUAAGUUUAUAAAGGGUCCAAUGAUAAGUGAGGGUCGUAAGCAGUACUCAGAAUGAAGGCGUAUGGCCAAACAAUCUAAGUUUCAAAAAAAUCGACUUAAAUGUUAAAACCUGUAUCCAGGAACCAAGUCUAGUUCGAUUGGAUCCCACACAUUAUAUCCUUACAGAUCUACAGAUAACUUCUAAUUAACAGAGGUUUGAUGAUUUUGGUCAAGUUAUUUGCGAUCCAUCUUAGUCUCCAGGUUAGUGAUCUCAGUUUAAAUGCUCCUUUUAAUGGAAUUUUUACCCCAUUUUUAGUGAUCCAGAUCACUGGCUCAGCUCAGCGAGAAGUGACUCUUUCACAAGUCUUUCACAGCAGACCCAUGCUCCCCACCUCAGUUCCAUAUCGCAAACCAGUAUUGGAUGAAGGACUGCAUGGAUGGGCAGAUGACAUGUUGUAUAUCUAUAUGCUCACCAUUUGUUUUAAUAACCUUUUGACAAAAAGCGGGUAGAGUAAGUGUUUCUUGGUGAGUGAAGAACUGUGAAGUUGAUUUAACAUGGCGAGUGGCAUCACAUCAAAUUUCAACUCUUAAUAUUUUCAGUGUCGCAAUAGUGAUAUGUUUGUGGCUGAUUGCAGAGGUCAAACUUGAUCAAACUUGAUGUUCACAUUAAGAUUCUGUUUUUAAAAAAAAGUUGAUAUAAAGUUUUGGAUAUGAUUAUACAGUUUGUCUAUGUUUGAUAUGCCUGUCAUCACAUGUCACCCUCUCUCUCCUGAAUCCUCUGAGUCUAAAGCUGUCAAACAAAGCCAGGAGCAAAAAAAGUUUCCAGCCUUAUGAAAACAGACAUUCAUGUAACUGACAGAUGUUUUUAUUUUUUCAGAAACUCAUCAGAUAAGACUUCUCCUCUUUCAUUCUUGUUUUCCUUGGCUCAUCAAAGAGUUAGAGGCCAUAAUAAAUUUGGACACUCAAGCCUUUGUGAAACAGGCUUGUCGUGAUUGGAAUAUCUUUGGUCAUUUCCAAAGCCAAGUUCACCAUUUUUCCCACACACACACAAAUAAAGGCAUACCAUCUCGAAAGCCAACAGUCAAUAAGCUGUCAUGGCGGCUCAUAAAUCUGUUCCUCUCCUGCUGGAGGCAGUUGUAAAUGUUCUCGCGGCAUCCUGUCAACAAUGUUAAGUCAUAAUGGUAACAUGUAGGACCUGCCAGGACCUGUUCGCCUUUUGUUACUGUAACUUAUUGAGAUUGUGGUGUCAGGUUGAUGGGCGGAUACACGAUUUGGUUUUGGGCCAAGUUGCACUGCAGUGGGCUGAAUAGAUUUCAUAAGACGAAGCAGGCUGCAAAUCCAGAAACAAUGCGAUUGCAUAAACACAUACAAUUGUCCCAAAGAAACACAGCAAUGGGAGCAGACUAAAAAUGGGUAAAAUAUGUGAAAGGCCAAAAAAAGUGUUAACAAGUAACAUGCCGCAAAUAGAUCAGUUAUAAAAAGUCUAAAAUAUGUAAACAAAGAAAAAUGCAAUGGAAAAACUUUGUGUAUCAAUUAAAGCCUAAACCUAAACCUGAAACAUGCAAGAUCAUAUUCCCACAGAAAUGAAAAAAAGAAUAUGAUCUUGUUAGUAUGAAGUCUGUUAUGAAACAGUGAGUCUGGAGGAAAGUGUUCAACCCAGGAUUCGGACUAAGGUCUGUUACCUUGGUAGUGUAAUUUGUUACUCAAAUAAAUGCUGCAAUGCCACUUCAGUGUGGUCUAAAACCAUGGUUUAAAGGUUAGGGAUGGUUUUAAAGUUGUUGUUUUUCUUUUUGUCAAAUACAGUGUUUAUUUUUAAGGAUAACACACAAAGAAAUAUACAGCAGGAGCAAAAUGUGUAGAGCAUUGCAAACAAAAAUACUCCGAAGCUUAAUGAAAAUUUGAGUACGAUACAAAAUGGUACAAAACGAUACGAUACAAUACGAUAUGAUAUGAUACGAUAUGAUAUGAUACAAUAUGAUAUGAUAUGAUAUGAGAUGAGAUGAGAUGAUACAGUAUGAUACGAUAUGAUAUGAUACAAUAGGGUGCAGUACGAUACGAUACGAAAUGAUAUGAUAGGAUAUGAUAUGAGACGAUACGAUACGAUACGAAAUGAUAUGAUAUGAUACAAUACGGGACAGUACAAUACGAUAUGAUACGAUAUGAUACAGUAUGAUACAUUACAAUACGGAACGGUACGAUACGAUUAGAGCCAUGGAUAGAUGAAACAGAGAAUAUUUUUUUAUCUUAGAAUAGUGAAGCUAAAUACCAUUACUGCUCUUUGUUUUCAUCUGAUCCUGCCCUCAUCCACUCAAAUGGUAUCCAGUUUGCAGGGUAAAUAGAUUUAACUGCAGCAUUGUGCUGACAUGACACUCAAGCAGGACGUUUCCCAGCUGACUUUGACUGUUGUGCUUUUUUAAUCUUUUUAAAUCUACAACUUCUGAGAAAUCAUCCCUGACAGAGGAAAACCAAGCUCUGUAAAUAGCACAUGAACUUUUACCACAGGUGGUUGGAGUGGUGUGUGUGCCAGCAGAUCAUUUGAUGUGUGGUUAAAGUGGUUGCAGUCUGUCACAGGGAUGAAGAUCAGUGAUGGGUAUCUACGCUGACCGACCCACAGCAGCUUCCCUUUGUGUUUCCUGGGGAUGACUGUCCCAUGAUGGGAAAUCCAGGUCACCUGCCCACUCUGCCCCCAGAGCAAACCCAAAUUUAA